rnacentral:rRNA from 1 species
GAUGAACGCUGGCGGCGCGCCUAAUACAUGCAAGUCGAACGAAACUUCUUUAUCACCGAGUGCUUGCACUCACCGAUAAAGAGUUGAGUGGCGAACGGGUGAGUAACACGUGGGCAACCUGCCCAAAAGAGGGGGAUAACACUUGGAAACAGGUGCUAAUACCGCAUAACCAUAGUUACCGCAUGGUAACUAUGUAAAAGGUGGCUAUACUACCGCUUUUGGAUGGGCCCGCGGCGCAUUAGCUAGUUGGUAGGGUAAAGGCUUACCAAGGCAAUGAUGCGUAGCCGAAUUGAGAGGUUGAUCGGCCACAUUGGGACUGAGACACGGCCCAAACUCCUACGGGAGGCAGCAGUAGGGAAUCUUCCACAAUGGGCGAAAGCCUGAUGGAGCAACGCCGCGUGGGUGAAGAAGGUCUUCGGAUCGUAAAACCCUGUUGUUAGAGAAGAAAGUGCGUGAGAGUAACUGUUCACGUUUCGACGGUAUCUAACCAGAAAGCCACGGCUAACUACGUG